ensembl:lncRNA
GACAAAUUAAAACCAUACAUACCUUGGCGGUCCAUGGUUACAUUGGCAGCGAGAGUUCUCUUCACUUCUCCAGAUUUUUCCAGGAGUAUGAUUCAGGAGGAUGUGCACACACCAGCAAGGUCUGCUUAUCCAAAGGAAUGUGAGGACCACAGAUGACACCGAAAUCCGGAGGGAAUUCCUCGUUUCUGCUCUGGAAAGUCAGUGGCCAGCAAGAAAAAGGAAGAAGAAAAAUAAAAUCAGAAUUGGGGCAGGAGGCACAGAGCUGGAGACUGCAUAGGAGCUCAGUACCCGGAGAUGGAGACAGGGAGAAAGACAGGGUUUGAGGGGAAAAGGGAGACUGAGAAACCAGGUCCUGCUGUCUCAGAGCUCUCCCUCUGCUAUUGGACCAAACUGAAUGAAAUUUACAAAGCCGGCAGCCAAUAGAUCUCCGCACUGGGCUCAUCAGCACAGAAAUCAUAUCCACAGCUACAACCUAGGCAAAGAGCAGCUAAUCCGAGUGCAAACCAACUAUGACUCGGAGCUCCUGCUGCCCGGCCGUGGCUGCCGUUCCUGGCCACCAUGACAUGAGCAGCUUCCAGUUAUGUUUCUGUCUCACCACAGGCCCAAAGGGCAUGGUGCUGUGAAACCAUGGACUGAACCCUCCUAAGCCAACUGAAUCUGAGAAUUGUUGCUGAUUCCAAGUGCUCUGCAAAAUAUCAAGGUUGGAUAAAAAAACACAGUUUUUGGCCUCAAAUAUCUAAUUGUGAGACUCUUUACUCGUGGCUCUUAUCAGAACUGUUCUGUUUUCUUUUUACUUACCUGUGAGUUUAUUUAUGGUGUUUCUUGCUUUCAUUUACAAUUGUCCACACAGCCUUGGGUAAAAGAAAAACAUAUCUGUCCAGCAUGUUGAUGAUAAAAUGCCCUGGAUGGUCAUACUUAUGUAAGACUUGAAUUUCAGAAGAUGAAGUUUAAUACAUUUGAGAGGGGAUAGGGUAUGGAAUGACCCUUAAAUUAUGUCUAUAUCUGUAUACAAUGCAUGGUAGAUAUAGCUGAUGUAACUAGAGUACAUAGCAUGUUCAAUUUAUGAGGAAA